GGCACUGACAAAAUUGAUCGAGGUCAGCCAUUUGUAAAAAUUAUUUUUAUUGCAGUUUAUAAAAGUAUUUCAAAUAUUUUAUUGAUUUCAAUUGUUCAUUGUUAAAAAAUUAAUCUUUCUACAAAAUAUUUAACUCCAUUGUUUGUUUCUACAAAAUACUGUGACAUCACUGCAAAAUUCGUCUGAUAGCGAAAAGAAGUAUUACUAACAGCUGAUGGCUCCAAAGAUCAUCAUGUAUCACAACUGUAAGGGAAUCAGAAGAGAUUUACAACAUCUGGGCCCUGGUGAAAAGUUUCCUCAUGAUUUAGACUACAUGGUGUCCUGAAAUGUAGCAUUGGAGGUGUCCUGAAAUGUAGCCUUGGAGGUGUCCUACAAUGGAGCAUAGGCCUACAUGGAACCCUGAACAUCUCUUCAAACUUCAUCCUUGAACACAUUCUAUAGAGAAGAGACAGUAUCCAUAUCUUCUUACUGCUGUUGUGCAUGAUGAGAGUGAGGUGUUUUGAGAAGAAAAGAGGAUUUUGAUGACAGUCAUGUAGCAACAAGAUCUGGGGACACUCUCUGAUAUGGGGAAUCAUAUGGGACUUCUUGAUCUUGGAGAUACUAGAGGAUCACAAGAAAAAUUAAUUGAG